rnacentral:lncRNA from 1 species
AUCACUUCCUAACUUUCCACUGCUUUUAAAAGAAAACCAACCUACAGCAAGCCUAAUGACAAUGAAAGAUAAAGAAUCCCUUCAAUCUGUAAGCGCAAAUGAAGUUAAAGUUUCAAGUACUAUUAUGCAACCAAGACAUGAAGCACGCAGUUUGGAAUUGACCAACUUUGAGUUGUCAGACAUUUCAGAACAAGAUGACUUAAAUUUAAAGGACUCUUCUGUGAAUGAUGAUGAUUCACUGCAGUCACUGUUAAAGAAAUUACAUGGUUUGUACAAUGUUAUUAUGUUUCUCCACAAAGUAUAUUUUUAUGUUAAUAGUGGUG